rnacentral:rRNA from 1 species
AACGAACGCUGGCGGCAGGCCUAACACAUGCAAGUCGAACGUGAAGCCACCUUCGGGUGGUGGAAAGUGGCAGACGGGUGAGUAACGCGUGGGAACGUGCCUUUCGGUUCGGGAUAACCCAGGGAAACUUGGGCUAUUACCGGAUACGCCCUCCGGGGGAAAGAUUCAUUGCCGAAAGAUCGGCCCGCGUCGGAUUAGCUAGUUGGUGGGGUAAAAGCCUACCAAGGCGACGAUCCGUAGCUGGUCUGAGAGGAUGACCAGCCACACUGGGACUGAGACACGGCCCAGACUCCUACGGGAGGCAGCAGUGGGGAAUAUUGGACAAUGGGCGCAAGCCUGAUCCAGCCAUGCCGCGUGGGUGAAGAAGGCCCUAGGGUUGUAAACCCCUUUCAGCGGGAAAGAUAAUGACGAUACCCGCAGAAGAAGCCCCGGCUAACUCCGUGCCAGCCGCCGCAGUAA